CCGGAGGAAGGGAGGAGAGCAUCCGGGCACUUAGCAAGGAGACACAAAGCUGCGUUCAGCUAGGUGCCCGGGCGAGUCGUGGGGAGACUGAGAAGGGGCUUGAGGACGGUUCCGGACUCUGGGUGGCUGACGCUAUGUCGGAUGGGCUUCUCCUCUCCUUACACUGGGGCCGUUUAGGGAGGUGCUGGGCUCGGGGUGGGGCUUAGAUGAAAUCUCUUCUUGCUACGCCUCUCCCUGCUCAAGUUCCCACCCUUUUCCUAGAGCAGAAGUUUCAGAUGUAAGGUGACUCGGUUUUUAGGGUCGGGCUUUUGAACCCUUAAGGAGACAGCGGGGCUUUACACGAAGCUGGGGACAGGAAACGGCUCUAGUCUAGCUUCUCUGAUCUCCGAGGGCCUCGGAGAACUUUUAAGCGGCUGCUCGAGCUGCUCUUCUUGGGCCCUUUUUUGGAGCAGAAGUGAGUCCGGUGCUGGGACCCAGGCAUCUCGCUCUGCCCGGCCCGGGGAAGGGUCGUGGCUGGCGAAGAGUCUGUGGCCAGGAGCCCGGGAGGAAAGAAGGUGUCAGGAAAAUACAGUACACUGCUUUCCCAUCGCUUUCAAUUUGGUUCUGUUUGAAGGCUUGUGAUGUGUCUGGCGGAUGGCGAAAGAGCUCGUCACUGUUUUGCGCCUGGUUUUGAAUUAUGUCCUUUGGUUUAAAAAGGGAUAUGUUGUCCCUUUAAGAUAAAGUCGAAAUUUUACCUUGGUGCUAGAGAGUUAACCAAAUAGAAAAAUAGGAAGCCUACAUUCCAAAGUGUUAUUUGAAGGACUUUAGACCCAGUUACAAAGUUAAAAAAAAAAAAUCUUUACACAUCCUUAGUUUGAGGCAAACAAGUAUGCCAGAAUAAAGUCUGGGAGCUUGUUCAGUUCCACAAAUAUUUUUAUGCUCUACUGUGUUCCUAACGCUGGAAUUUGUCCGGUGGUCCCAAUUAUGAAUAAGUUGGAUCCAAUUCUACCGUCAUAGGAAUUUUCAUUCUAGUAAGUCAGCGAAGCAAGCAGUUAUUACACAUUUACAAUUUUUCGUGCGUUCAUCAGAAUAAGAGCAAGCCUUGUGAAAGAACAGGGCACAGAACAGUAUUGGGAUGAAGUCAAAAUGGCAAAAACAAGAAAUGGGAGGCUAGGAAAAUGGGUUGUCUGGGGGUUCACUGGACACUUAGAAGACAGAGGAUAACUGGAAGGAAUCCAAAAAAAAAAGAAAGGAUUUGAAAACAAAUAGACAUCUACCAGAUGAUCAAUGAGGGAUCUCUCAAACCUAUUAUUUCUGAGGUAUGUGGAUUAUUAUCCCACAUUAUUAUGUGAACAGAUUAUUAUCCAGACAUAUGACUUUAUCUUUCUCAGCUUUAAUAUUUUCAAAUUCAAAAAUAUUCUUAUUUAUACAGAACCUUUCUCUCCAGUUUUAUGUCCAAAUAAAAGCAUUUUUAAAAGUUACAUAUAAACAGCCAUGGUGAAAAAAAUGCUUGAGUCCAUGGGACCACAAGUUGAAAUUUUGGCUUUAUCUGUUGCCAGGCCUGUGACUUUUGGCAAAGUCAGCCUACUCGAGCCUCAAUAUAAAAUGGAGUUUUUGUUAGAUGAGAAAAUGCCUAGCAUACCCAACAGUUGAUCAAUAAAUACUGGUAGACUUUGGAUGCAUAUUUCUCCCCAGGUUUUAUUACUUUUCAAAAUAUUCCUAAAAUUAUUAACGCUCUAUGCUAUCUGGAAGUAUUUGGGGAACUUAGUUGAUCUGUGUUGUACUAAAAUCCUGUUUCAUCACAUCCUGAUAGUGGAUUGCUGAAAGGAUUCAACUUGUACCCUUAUGAGACUUACCCUUCUUUAAGUUGUGGUUGUGAGGUAUUAUGUCUCAGUGAUGACAGAGUGACUACAACAUAGUACAAAAUCAACCUUCUGCUCCAGAAAGCUCUGUGGUGAGGAAGCCAGGCUGUGCUUGCUGCUUCUUUCAGUCGCCUGCUAGCUUGCUGUCAAAGCUGGAAAGCUGGAGAUGGCAAAGUCCUGAAACACACACAGCAGGGGAACUAGUCCAGUCUGAAUGUAUCAUCUGCCACACAUCCAAACUGUAUGAUUGUGUAGUCAGGGUCAUUUUUAUGGAGUAUCUGAAAGUUCUUCACAGAUGCCAGAGUGACCAGCCAUGAAGGUUCAGGGCACAAAAGUGGGUGUCUUCGUUCUAGACCAGGGCCUUGUGCAGUUCUCCAUGGUUUUGUUUUGCCAUUUGGAAAGCAAGCAAGCUCUCGUGGUCAUUUUGUGGCUGAAAUGGUACCCAUUCAUGAUUUCUGUUCUUCCCUGGAAUAUUCACAGACUUUCUCUAAGGACCUUUAAUUUCAAAUACAUCUGUUGUAACAGAUGGCAGUCGGGCCCUAUGGUGUAUGGGCCUUCUCCAGCAGAUCCUGGGCCUUGAAUAGGCUGGCACCAUGGUACUGUGAACUUGGUCCCCAUGAGGUGGGAUUUUGAGUUUGCCCAUGUAACUUUCCCCUUCUGGCGACAGUCUCAAUACACUGCGUCAGUGGAUAUCAACUAAUUGGAUGUUUAGAUCUUUUUUUCUGUUUUCUUACUGUGAAAAGAAAUACCUUUUGGGGCUAGGGAUGUAGCUCAGUGGUGCAGCGCCUGCCUGGCAAGCGCGAGGCCCUGGGUUCGAUUCUUGCUAGCAAAUACAAAAACUUGAUUCUCAUGUAAGUCCAUAAAGUAUGUGGGGAAGAGACCUUGCUCCAUUCCUUUUUUGUUCCUGGUUAUCUGACACUAUUGUGAUACCUUGGGGAGGCAGGACUAUAUGCAGAGUCCUCUGAAGUUCUCCACUUCUCCCACCUGGUUCUGUGUCUCCGUCUCUGUCUCUGUCUCUGACUCUGUCUGUCUGUCUCUCCUUCUGCCCCCUCUCCCUCUCUGUUUCCCCCAGCUGGUUUUCAACCUGCUGGGCUGCAGUGCCAGAAGCUCCUGUACCUGUGGUUGAUUUCUAGCUGGAUGCAGAACUGUUUCUGAAUAUGGUGAUUGAGAACUUAAUUUUUUUCCUUCUUCCUCAUCAUUAAUCUCUUCAUCAAAGUUCAAACGACCUGAGGUGUCAUGUUUUUAGAGAAUUUCUUGAAGGUCUGGCUUAUAAGCAGAAUCCAAAGUGCCUUCUCCAUCAAUGUUACACUCAGUAUCAUCCUUUGUAGAAGAAGGGCCUACUGCGAGAGCAAGAAGUUUGAUUUCUAGGUCACAAGCACUUUGCUUUAGGAAGGCAGCUGGACCACCAAUGCCAUCAAGAAUGAUGUCCUUGCAAGGAGUCUGAGGUUCACCAAAGCAUAAGGGACAGAACCAUUCUGAGCCACCCAGAAGCUGCCUCUCAUGCCUCAUCCCAUCAAGCACAUCCUGCCUUUCUUCAUGGACCCGACAUCAGGUGAAAGAACAGAAACUGAAGGGAUUAUGGCCAUUUGCCUAAAAUAAACCACAACCCCUGCCUCAGUUUCCUAAGGCAGAGAACAGCACAAGGGGAAGGGGUAGGCAGUGUGACUGCCUUUGAGAGCUAAACAUCAGGAAGCAUCCGUGUCUCACAGGCAUGGUAAAUGC
rnacentral:lncRNA from 1 species